CAUGCACCUCAGCUUUCAAAUCGUAUGGUAGUUGAGUUUUCAUCUCCAUCAAGGCUUUUACGAAGGCUCCAUCUUUAUCCAAAAAUAGAAAAAAAUAAUUUUUCUCUAUUUUUAAAUAAAAUUUUUUAUCCUUAAUUUUACAUCAAUAUGUAAAAGUUUCAAUCAGCAGUUGAAAAUAUGUAAAGACAGGAAUAGAAAAAUGAAAGAAUAG
rnacentral:lncRNA from 1 species